rnacentral:lncRNA from 1 species
UAUCUAUUUUGUGAAGUGCACCAGUCCCUCCUGCAGCAAAGCACCCUCACAACAUGAUGCUGCCACCCUCGUGCUUCACGGUUGGGAUGGUGUUCUUCGGCUUGCAAGACUCCCCCUUUUUCCUCCAAACAUAACGAUGGUCAUCAUGGCCAAACAGUUCUAUUUUUGUUUCAUCAGACCAGAGAACAAAAAGUACAAUCUUUGUCACCAUGUGCAGUUGCAAACUGUAGUCUGGCUUUUUUAUGGCGGUUUUGGAGCAGUGGCUUCUUCCUUGCUGAGCGGCCUUUCAGGUUAUGUCGAUAUAGGACUCGUUGUACUGUGGAUAUAGAUACUUUUGUACCUGUUUCCUCCAGCAUCUUCACAAGGUCCUUUGCUGUUGUUCUGGGAUUGAUUUGCACUUUCCGUACCAAAGUAAGCUCAUCUCUAGGAGACAGAACACGUCUCCUUCCUGAGCGGUAUGACGGCUGCGUGGUCCCAUGGUGUUUAUACUUGCGUACUAUUGUUUGUACAGAUGAACGUGGUACCUUCAGGCGUUCGGAAAUUGCUCCCAAGGAUGAACCAGACUUGUGGAGGUCUACAAUAGUUUUUCUGAGGUCUUGGCUGAUUUCUUUUGAUUUUCCCAUGACGUCAAGCAAAGAGGCACUGAGUUUGAAGGUAGGCUUUGAAAUACAUCCACAGGUACACCUCCAAUUGACUCAAAUGAUGUCAAUUAGACAAUCAGAAGCUUCUAAAGCAAUGACAUCAUUUUUUGGAAUUUUCCAUGCUGUUUGAAGGCACAGUCAACUUAGUGUAUGUAAACAUCUGACUGGAAUUGUGAUACAGUGAAUUAUAAGUGAAAUAAUCUGUCUGUAAACAAUUGUUGGAAAAAUUACUUGUGUCAUGCACAAUGUAGAUGUCCUAACCGACUUGUCAAAACUAUAGUUUGUUAACAAGAAAUGUGUGGAGUGGUUGAAAACGAGUUUUAAUGACUCCAACCUAAGUGUAUGUAAACUUCCGACUUCAACUGUACUGUACUGUGCUAUAUAAAGAACAGCCUGUCCUCUCUGAAUGGUACUGUGGUAUAUAAAGAACAGUCUGGCCUCUCUGAAAGGUACUGUGGUAUAUAAAGAACAGCCUGUCCUCUCUGAAAGGUACUGUGGUAUAUAAAGAACAGCCUGUCCUCUCUGAAAGGUACUGUGGUAUAUAAAGAACAGCCUGUCCUCUCUGAAAGGUACUGUGCUAUAUAAAGAACAGCCUGUCCUCUCUGAAAGGUACUGUGGUAUAUAAAGAACAGCCUGUCCUCUCUGAAAGGUACUGUGGUAUAUAAAGAACAGCCUGUCCUCUCUGAAAGGUACUGUGGUAUAUAA